UGCUGGGAGCUUCCUGUGCGACGCCAUUCCCCCCUUUCAGCUAAUAAUCAUUAGUGGCCACCUGGCGCCUCCAGUAAUCUGUCAGGCGACAUUAUUUAGAUAUCGAAAUGCAUUUGACGGUUUGUAUUAUAGUCACCUAAUCCUGGAUGGAGAAUCCUGGAAGCCUUGAUUUCGCUGUUGUCUACUAAAGACUGUGUGACGUCAUCUGACUUCCAAGCGAUACAUUCUUCUCUAUCGUAAAAGAAAAGAUCUCUACUUGCUCUGUGAGAUGUGGCUUGAUCGAGCACUGAUAGAAAACUAGCUCUGGUUGACGUUACAGAAUCAACUCUUACUGCUGUCAACCAGCAAGCCGAAGGUCACAAGCUCGGUCAUCUCAUGCCAGUCAUAGUUACUGGAGAUGUGACAGCCUGACUACUGGGAACCGCAGUUGUCUGAUACCUCCAGAGAUCCAGUUAAUCUCUUCGUUCUAGUGAUGUUUUGGUAUAGUAGUCAUAAUGUAAUUAAAUCGAUACUACUCCUUACCUCUUCCCCAGAACGAAUUAUAUCAAAGUAUGAGAGGCAAGAUGUUUUCGUUAUCUAGGUAAUUUCUUAGUUUUGUACUAUUCUGUAAUGAAAAGUUUAUAAAGAUCGUAUGCGUUUUGAGUAUACAUAUAUACUUGACUUGAGUUUGGUGUACUAUUACUGUAUUGGGAUGUUGGUUAUAGCGUGUUGUUUAUCAACGAAGGAAACUUGACUCGCAUUAAGCUUACAAUAGAGAUUAUUUUCAUCCGUAGAGCAGUUUCUUUAUCAAUCUAGAUUUCACGAAUUAGAAUACUGAAAACAGUACAGAUCUUUGAAAGUGACAACCACUUACAUCAUGGUCAAUCCUCACGUGCUGUGUCCGCAAGUAGUCCGUAGGUUUUAUAUAGGUAUGUGUGUAUCCUUUUUAACUCUUGGAUGGAGGAUCGUAUGUGUUACUUUGUUCGCUUUUAAACUAAUCACUUGAAUACAAGUUGAUGCCAAGCUGUUGCUAUGAAAUAUUCCAGAAAGGACUGGCAAAGGUGAAAAUAAAUGGGAAGCUUGUGAAAUCUCGUGAAAGAAAAGUAAUUUCAAAGCCCAUCAGACAUUGGAUUUAGGGGCAAAAAUAAAGAAAAAAUCUCAUCACUUCAAUAUCUCAAGUAGAAGUUGAAAUCGAUAGAACAAUUUCUACAGGGACAAAAUUUAAUAGAUUUUGUUUUUGUCGAACUUUCACACAUUUCGGGGGGGGGGCAGUGAUGGUUGGUGGAAAUAAGCAUUUCAUUUGAUCCUGGGAUUCUUCUGAAACUCUUGAAGCGAGUAGUGACAGUUAGGCCAUUAUAAAAAAAAAAGACAACACUAGUUUCGUGAUCGUUACUUUAGUCCCUAUUCUCAGAAAACAGAUUAGAUAAUCCUUUACGUUUAUUGUUUAGUUUGCACUUAAAGUUUAGAAUGUAUUUGUAUUAGUACAGUUGACUACUUAGGGUCCGACAAGAUAAGUACCUGAACUUACUUAAGCUUAUCCAUGGUGUGUUUGUAUUCUUACAUUCCUUUAAACAGUAUUUAUCACUGUAAUCGCUCAAAGAAAAUAAAAGUUAAAAGUAAAAUAUAUUAAUAUCAUAAUACUUAAUGGCUUAAGAGCAACUAACUAAGUGUGUAUUUCAAACGUGUAUAAGAAAGACAUAUGACACAUAUGUCUUCACAUUAUCCGGAAAGUUCCACUAAUACAAUAAAGUAGUCCAAAAUAUUCCCACCGAUGAAUAAAAUAAUAUCAUAAUUAUUUCAUCGGAAAUACACGGCAGUUAAAAUAAAAUAAAAACGCAUUAUAUAUGUUUAAAACAAGGUUUGAAGUGGAACUAGAAUUUUCAGCCA
rnacentral:lncRNA from 1 species